CUGCAGCCAAUUAAGCCGACCGCUCUCCUCCUUGUGGUGGCCAGCAUGCAAUUGCUGCAAACAGCAAGCUUCCUAGGUAGUAUAUGCAGCCUGUUGGUGUGUACGGGCUGCCCUAAGGGACCUUGGAGACAACC